rnacentral:lncRNA from 1 species
CCCGCGAUGGCUGGCUCGGGGCGCGCGCGCGGGGGGCGCCCGCGGCCGGCGCUCCUGCUGCUGCUGCUGCUGCUGCAUCUGCGGUGGCCCCAGGUCGCCGGCGCUGCGGGUACGCGCUGGAGCGGGCCCGGUACCACCCCGCACCUGCAGACCAUCUUCCUGGGCCGCUGCGCCGAGCAGAUCGCACUGCAGAACCCGGAGCUGCGGGACAAGAACUGCACAGCCAUCUGGGAAGCGUUUAAAGUGGUGCUGGAUAAGGAUCCCUGUUCUGUGCAACCCUCGGAUUAUGACCUUUUUAUUAACCUCUCCAGACACUCCAUUCCCAGAGACAAGUCCCUGUUCUGGGAAAACAACCACCUCCUUGUCACCAGCUAUGCAGAGAGCGGCCGCCGCCUUGUACCGCUCUGCAACGUUCUGUAUGGCAGGGUCGGAGAUUUCUUGAACUGGUGUCGACAGACAAAUGCCUCAGGACUCGACUACCAAUCCUGUCCAACAUCAGAAGAUUGUGAAAACAACCCUGUGGAUUCUUUCUGGAGAAGCGCAUCCAUCCAGUAUGCAAGAGAUAGUUCUGGGGUGAUCAAUGUCAUGCUGAAUGGCUCAGAGCCAGCAGGAGCCUAUCCUGUGAAAGGUUUUUUUGCAGAUUUUGAAAUUCCUUACCUCCAGAAGGAUAAAAUCACACGGAUUGAUAUCUGGGUUAUGCAUGAAAUCGGAGGACCCAAGGUGGAAUCCUGUGGAGAAGGCAGCGUGAAGCUCCUGGAAGAGAGGCUGGACAAGAUGGGUUUCCAGUACAGCUGUACCGAUGACUACCCACCAGUGAAGCUCUUAAAGUGUGUGGAACACAGCACUCAUCCUGACUGUGCCUUAAGUUCAAGCAGAAACUGCCAAGAGAUCAAGCAGGCAUUCAUGAGUGCAUUCAUUUCCAAGGAUCCCUGCAAAGCGACAAAGGAAGACUACAGACGACUGAUCGACCUGGCAGAUCCCACUGUGCCUUGCAACAAGAUAGUCUUAUGGAGCAAAACAAAGGAGCUGGCUCGUGAAUACGCGAAACCGCGGGGCCUGGUGACCCUGGAGGACACACUGCUGGGUUCCCUUGCUGAUGACCUCCACUGGUGUGGAGAGCCAGGCUCUCCUGAUUUGAACACGUGGUCUUGUCCAGACUGGAAGAAAGACUGCAGAACAAACUAUCUUACUGUAUUCUGGGAAGUGCUGUCCAAAAGGUUUGCAGAAAGUGCCUGUGGUACAGUCCAGGUGGUGCUCGACGGGUCGCUCGAGAACGCCUUUAAUGAAAUGAGCAUAUUUGGACGAGUGGAAGCCCCUAACUUGAAGCCAAUGGUUACGCUACAGGCUUGGCUGGUACAUGACCCUGGAAAACCUCCCCGUGACUCAUGCUCUGGCUCCUCUAUAACGAAACUGAAGUCCAUCUUAAGUGAAAGAAAUGUCAGAUUUAUCUGCAGGGAUAAUCUCAGGCAUGACCCAGAGCUCCUGACUUUCAGGGGUGUAGAAGCACAUUUUGCCCAAAGCAAAGGAUUUAUAAAAGCCUUGUGACUUGCCAUAUCUUUCAGCCGGGACGAGUUUCUUGGAAGAUUCUGAGGAUUUAUCUUGCGGAUGAGUCAGUCAUCAUGGCUGAGCUCUGGCAGUACAGAUCAACACACACGAUUCAGGAGACGUGCUGGCAGAAAGUUGGGACUUUGGGGGGAAACUUUUGUCAUAAAAUUAACACCAGAGAUGGAAACCUUUUCCUCUGGGAUCUUAAAAUAACUUAUGCUAUUGACAUAGUUUUUAUCUUGAUCUAAUAGUCAAGAAAAAUUAAUUAUAAUAUAAAGUUAGAGUAGAAAUUUUAUACAGUUUUUAAUUUUAUUUUUCAUAUGAUUCUUUUAUAUUGCUAAUAUGUUGGUAACAUCCUCUCUG